rnacentral:pre_miRNA from 3 species
AGUGUGAUUGUUGGAUUGUAUGGUAAGUUAUGUUUUAUUCUUUAAGAAAGUGCCAAACUAUUUCCCAGAGUUGCUGUACCAUUUUGCAUUUCCACCAGCAAU